rfam:Exophiala oligosperma strain CBS 72588 unplaced genomic scaffold supercont1.4, whole genome shotgun sequence.
GCCCGUUUGGCCCAGGGGUAAGGCGUGUCACUCGUAUGUUAAGCCGAGCGAAUAAAUGACAAGAUCAUCGGUUCGAAUCCGAUAAUGGGCA